rnacentral:rRNA from 1 species
UACGAAGGGGCUAGCGUUGCUCGGAAUUACUGGGCGUAAAGGGAGCGUAGGCGGGUUAUCAAGUUGGGGUGAAAGCCCGGGGCUCAACCUCGGAAUUGCCUUCAAAACUGAUAACCUGGAGUAUGGAAGAGGUAAGUGGAACUCCGAGUGUAGAGGUGAAAUUCGUAGAUAUUCGGAAGAACACCAGUGGCGAAGGCGGCUCACUGGCCCGGUACUGACGCUGAGGUGCGAAAGCGUGGGGAGCAAACAGG